UACGUAGGGUCCGAGCGUUGUCCGGAUUUAUUGGGCGUAAAGAGCUCGUAGGCGGUUCCGUAAGUCGGAUGUGAAAACUCGGGGCUCAACCCCGAGACGCCAUCCGAUACUGCGGUGACUUGAGUCUGGUAGGGGAACACGGAAUUCCUGGUGUAGCGGUGAAAUGCGCAGAUAUCAGGAGGAACACCGAUGGCGAAGGCAGUGUUCUGGGACAGUACUGACGCUGAGGAGCGAAAGCGUGGGGAGCAAACAGG
rnacentral:rRNA from 1 species